rnacentral:rRNA from 1 species
UACGAAGGGGGCUAGCGUUGUUCGGAAUUACUGGGCGUAAAGCGUGCGCAGGCGGCUGCUCAAGUCAGGGGUGAAAGCCCAGAGCUCAACUCUGGAAUUGCCUUUGAGACUGAGUGGCUUGAGUACGGGAGAGGUGAGUGGAAUUCCCAGUGUAGAGGUGAAAUUCGUAGAUAUUGGGAAGAACACCGGUGGCGAAGGCGGCACUCUGGGCCGGAACUGACGCUGAGGAGCGAAAGCGUGGGGAGCGAACAGG